UACGUAGGGUGCAAGCGUUGUCCGGAAUUAUUGGGCGAAAGAGCUCGUAGGCGGUUUGUCGCGUCGAAUGUGAAAACCCGGGGGCUCAACCCCGGGCCUGCAUUCGAUACGGGCAGACUAGAGUUCGGUAGGGGAGUCUGGAAUUCCUGGUGUAGCGGUGAAAUGCGCAGAUAUCAGGAGGAACACCGGUGGCGAAGGCGGGACUCUGGGCCGAUACUGACUGAGGAGCGAAAGCGUGGGGGAGCAAACAGGG
rnacentral:rRNA from 1 species